rnacentral:rRNA from 1 species
GAUGAACGCUGGCGGCGUGCCUAAUACAUGCAAGUCGAGCGAACGGACGCGAAGCUUGCUUUUCUGAUGUUAGCGGCGGACGGGUGAGUAACACGUGGAUAACCUACCUAUAAGACUGGGAUAACUUCGGGAAACCGGAGCUAAUACCGGAUAAUAUUUUGAACCGCAUGGUUCAAAAGUGAAAGACGGUCUUGCUGUCACUUAUAGAUGGAUCCGCGCUGCAUUAGCUAGUUGGUAAGGUAACGGCUUACCAAGGCAACGAGGCAUAGCCGACCUGAGAGGGUGAUCGGCCACACUGGAAGUGAGACACGGUCCAGACUCCUACGGGAGGCAGCAGUAGGGAAUCUUCCGCAAUGGGCGAAAGCCUGACGGAGCAACGCCGCGUGAGUGAUGAAGGUCUUCGGAUCGUAAAACUCUGUUAUUAGGGAAGAACAUAUGUGUAAGUAACUGUGCACAUCUUGACGGUACCUAAUCAGAAAGCCACGGCUAACUACGUG